GUGGCUAAGCUUGGAUGUGGUUAUCUUUAUUUGAUGCCUUGCUCUUCAAGAUUGAUAUAAUUAUGCAUUUGUAUGUUGCUUGAUUCUAAAUGUCCAAGGGAAUCUGGGUUUUUAUUGACAUUCUUGUCUUUUGGAUUGCUACCCAUUGGUCAGAUCUUUUCAACCCUUAACUUUUAAUUUUAUGCAUAGGAUUAGUCUCUUCAUCUUCUCCCCAU
rnacentral:lncRNA from 1 species